rnacentral:rRNA from 1 species
AUUGUAGCAAUACAGUCAGUGGCGGACGGGUGAGUAAUGUAUCGCUAACGUACCCUGGACUCUGGGAUAGCUAAUCGAAAGGUUAGGUAAUACCAGAUGAGACCACAAGCCGGCAUCGGCUGGUGCUCAAAGGUCCGCCGGUCUGGGAGCGGGCGAUAUCGUAUCAGCUAGUUGGUGAGGUAACGGCUCACCAAGGCGAUGACGCGUAACUGGUCUGAGAGGACGGCCAGUCACAUCGGGACUGAGACACUGCCCGGACUCCUACGGGGGGCUGCAGUAACGAAUCUUCCCCAAUGCACGCAAGUGUGAGGGAGCGACGCCGCGUGUAGGACGAAGUCCUUCGGGAUGUAAACUACUGUCAGGGGAUACCAAGUUCUGAGGAUCCCCAGAGGAAGAGGCGGCUAACUCUGUGCCAGCAGCCGCGGUAAUACAGAGGCCUCAAGCGUUAGGCGGAAUCACUGGGCUUAAAGCGCGUGUAGGUGGACUUUUAAGUGCUUUGUGAAAUCCCACGGCUCAACCGUGGAACUGCUGGGCAUACUGGAAGUCUUGGGCUAUCUAGGGGCAACCGGAACAAGCGGUGGAGCGGUGAAAUGCGUAGAUAUCGCUUGGAACGCCAAAGGUGAAGACAGGUUGCUGGAGAUAUGCCGACACUGAGACGCGAAAGCCAGGGGAGCAAACGGGAUUAGAUACCCCGGUAGUCCUGGCCCUAAACGAUGUCCACUGGAUCGCGGUUCCUUGACGGGAUUCGCGGUCGGAGCAAAAGUGUUAAGUGGACCGCCUGGGAAGUACGGUCGCAAGGCUAAAACUCAAAGGAAUUGAC